GUUUUUUCAAUGAUUUUCAUUCAACAAAUAAAUAAGAAAAGAAUUUUACCGUGAAUAACGCGAAUUAUAUAAAUUUCAUAAAUGAGACAAUAUUCGCUGCAUUAUUGCACAAAGACAAUUCAACAAAGAAAUGAGAUCUUUCUCUUGAUAACAUUUAAAUAGGACUGGAUAUUGUUACGUUAAGUGUUUAAGUUUAACAAAAAAUUGUAUCACACAUGAAUUCUAGGAAUCAGUAACAAAUCACCACCUGGUCCGUGUUUCUUCGAAGUACCAAAUAAGGAAUUCAUCAUAAUGAAGAUAGUUUGGAUUGUAAGACUUCUAUUUUUCGUUGGUCUUAUUUACGAAACACAAUGUGAAACUCGCAUGUGCUUUGCCUGCAGAGACACUUCCAGCAAAGAAGGUGAAAAUGACUGCCAGGUGAACACAGAAAGGAUGGAAGAGCUUCAUACUAAGUUAAUUCACGAAUAUAGGAACGAUACGGAUGUUUUUAUGAAAGAUUUUGUAAACGAUCCGUAUGUACAGAGUUGUAGUGCUUUGGCUGGACAUAACUAUUGCUGCAUAGAAGAACUUGAACAAAGAGGAAUCAUUCUUGCGUAUAUCAGAACAUGUUGUGAUGGCAUUACUUGGUCAUUUAAUACAACAGUUUUAAAUACACUGAAGAACGUCCAAAAAAGCAACGAUUCUUUGUGUCAACAUAAUGCAGCAUCUACAACAACAACUUGUGUUACAAUGUGUCGUGGAAAUUUCUGUAAUGGACCAACUGCUGCGGCGAAUAAUUUACAUACAUUCAUAACUCUAAAAUUGUUUUGUUUGAUACUAAUACGUUGCUUUUCGUAAUCACAGCAGUAACUGAAUGAAUUAAAGUGACGACAGGUGGUUCUUAAAAUUAAACCAGGGGUUAGUUUUACCCCUGGACUGUUUCAUCUAAUAUCUCCGAAAAAGGUUUCACAAUUUCACAUAAAAAAUAUAUAUUUCCAAAUAGAAAAUAACAUACAAGUAAGUAACGGAAAAAUGGUUUAUUAAAACAGUCAUCUCUGUAAAUGAUUCAGUAGCACAUGGUCUCAAAUUCAGAGAAGAAUAUUUCAAAAGACGUUAAAUAUUACUAUGACUACUUCAGAAAUGUUUGAUAUGACAGUUCAAGGUUGUGAAGUAUUGAGUACCAUUAAACAAUGCACAAAGUACUUGUUACUCCUUACUUAUAUAUGUUAGUUAUGAAAAUCAGAUGAUAGAUAAUUUGUCUUAAUCUCACUUAUCAGUUCUUUGCUAUUUCGUCUGUGUAUAUCUAUUUUUCAGAUGAAUAAAAUAUGAAGCCUCACA